UACGUAGGUGGCAAGCGUUGUCCGGAAUCAUUGGGCGUAAAGGGCGCGUAGGUGGCGGGACAAGCGUGCGGUGAAAGCCUGGGGCUCAACCCCGGGUCGGCCGUGCGAACUGUUUUGCUUGAGCACUGUAGAGGCAGGCGGAAUUCCAGGUGUAGCGGUGAAAUGCGUAGAUAUCUGGAGGAACACCGGUGGCGAAGGCGGCGUUCUGGACUGCAACUGACACUGAGAGACGAAAGCCAGGGGAGCAAACGGG
rnacentral:rRNA from 1 species